AACGUAGGAGGCGAGCGUUAUCCGGAGUUACUGGGCGUAAAGCGUAUGUAGGCGGUUGGACAAGUUGCGUGUGAAAGCGCCCGGCUAAACUGGGCGAAGCCACGUAAGACUGUUUAACUAGAGGGUGGUAGAGGGGCGUGGAAUUCCGGGUGUAGCGGUGAAAUGUGUAGAGAUCCGGAGGAACACCAGUGGUGCAGACGGCGCCCUGGGCCACUACUGACGCUGAUAUACGAAAGCGUGGGGAGCGAACGGG
rnacentral:rRNA from 1 species